rnacentral:sRNA from 1 species
CCACGGGUUGGCACCCGUGGCUACAGCAUGCCGUCCCUUCGGGACU